rnacentral:rRNA from 1 species
UACGGAGGGUGCAAGCGUUGUUCGGAAUCACUGGGCGUAAAGCGCGCGUAGGCGGCUUUUCAAGUCAGGGGUGAAAUGCCAAGGCUUAACCUUGGAACUGCCUUUGAAACUGUAAAGCUGGAGUGUCGGAGGGGAUAGCGGAAUUCCUAAUGUAGUGGUGAAAUACGUAGAUAUUAGGAGGAACACCGGUGGCGAAGGCGGCUAUCUGGACGACAACUGACGCUGAGGCGCGAAAGCGUGGGGAUCAAACAGG